AAGGGGGAAGGAGCUCUCCCAGAGCAAGCAAAGGAGAGAGAGAGAGGCCUGACUGCAGGCAAUUUCAUGACCAGACCCACCAUGGGACAUUGAUCAUGAGAGAUAAGAACCACCACUACAGGCAAACAUACUGCACCACAAAUCUUGACUAGAAUGGUCCAGGCAGGAUAGUUCCAAUCAAAACCACCAAUUAAAGUGAACAGAGAAGAAAUGAAAUACAACAGUCCUGAUGAUGACCUACAGGCUCCAUGCUUAUGAUGAAUAAAGCCAUGACCCUUGGACUCAUGCCCAACUGUAUAUGAAUUUGACUCUGAAAAUCAGUCUCCUCAGUGGUAUCAUGGGCUUCACCAGGAAUGUGUAGGACCUGUGAGCAGGAGUGGAUUGGUAGAGAGUAUUCAAACUACUGGAAGGACUGCUGACAGAGAAUUGCUACUACGCCAGUGAGACGUGAACUUCCCAGGUAAUCAAAUGCAAAUCUUGAGAGUAUUGUGAGGGAUAGGACAACACCAAAACUUGUAAUAACCCAGGGAAGGAUGGCUAGGGUGUUAGAAAUUGCAUGAUGACAAAAAGGAAAUCUUGUUUCUUGCUACUAUGGUGUAUCACUUUAUUUAAAAAUGAUGAAAUCACUAAUUAGAACUUUCUCUCUGCAUUUCUUUGGAAAAAAAUUAAAAAUGUAUAAGCCCCUCUGUACUGUGUAUGUAU